ACUUUCUCCUCAUGGUAUGAAGUUUAAAUAUUGACUUUAAGCCUGUCUCAGAGGACUUCCUCAAGGUAGACCCAAACUAUAUCACAUUCCUCAUAACUACUUCUCUGGUUACCUUCCUAAAGGCAACGUCUACCUAGAAUAUCUGCUUCUCGCUGCCACAUGUUCCUUCCAUUCCAUUCCAUGAAGUCUACUUAACGAGCCCCUUCAGUAGAGAAGUUCUCAACGAAUCCCUUCUGGAUCCAGGCAUUCUGAUUACUGUAUUAUGACUGUGCACUCUACCCAGGGCAGACUGUCAUCUGAGCCCGGCCUGUCCUGCUGUCUGCUCUCUCCAGAGAGCAUCCUUCAUCCUGAUAAACAGGCUGCGAGCUGGACAUGUGACUGAGCUCCUUAAGACAUGAGUCUUCAGUCUCCUGCCCUCAGCUUAGCUGGAAGCUGGAUGACAGCCACAUUAAGAGGCUUUCUGCAAGUGGCUUUUGGAUGAAAAGGGGGCCUCUCAGGUACUCCACUCUCACGUUGCAGGCUCUGCAGCAGCUGGUCUAUCUGGUGGCACUGGGACUACUCCUCACUCUUAUCAUCCGACUUUGAAUGGGAGCCUCGCUCCUUCACCCUGAGCCGUCCAUCAAGACCCAGCACUAGGGCCAGGUCUGGUGACGGUGGCCAGACUGCUCACACUGCUGCCCCAGAACAUCCAGCUGUCAAGCUUUAACAAAAUUUGAGUGAAGCUUUAUUUCUCUAAAAAGAAACACAAGAUAGGCAAGAUGCAAAGAAUGGUCAGAGGGAAGAGGGAAGUUAAAAUGAAGGUGAUUGCCGCUCUGACAUCGUAACUACACUUGUGAAGGCAAUGGUUCCAGCUAGCCCAAUGAGGGAAGAAAAAAACUUAAAAUGGAGUAAGAGGAAGGAAAAGGACAAUAAUAAAAAACUCAAGCAGAACAGAGCCCUCAGAAAUAAUGCCGCAUAUCUACAACCAUCUGAUCUUUGACAAACCUGAAAAAAAAAGAAAUGGGGAAACGAUUCCCUAUUUAAUAAAUGGUACUGGGAAAACUGGCUAACUGUAUGUAGAAAGCUGAAACUGGAUCCCUUCCUUACACCUUAUACAAAAAUUAAUUCAAGAUGGAUUAAAGACUUAAAUGUUAGACCUAAAACCAUAAAAACCCUAGAAGAAAACCUAGACAAUACCAUUCAGGACAUAGGCAUGGGCAAGGACUUCAUGUCUAAAACACCAAAAGCAAUGGCAAC
rnacentral:lncRNA from 10 species